GAGACAACAGCUCUGCUAAGUGCCCUUGAGAGGGCACGGUGGGGUCAGCACCAAAGUCAGACCACUAAAGAGAAAAAGAGAGAAAGACAGGAUUGCAGAGGAGAAAUGAGAAUGGCAGAAAAAAUAAUUUUUUAAGCCAAAAGGAAUCAGAGAAGAGCAGAAGUGCCUCUAGGAUAAAGCGUAGCAGGCAGUUAGGGAAAAAGGGCUGUUAACUACCUUGAAGCUCUGACUACAUUAGAAAGCCUCGCAAGACAGUCGUUGCUUGCACGGGCAGGUAGAGAACUUUUCCUGUCCAUUGUUCUUCUGAAUUAUAAAUCACUGACCUCUUUAUGAUUUCUAAAGGGAAAAUGACUUCAAGCUUCUUAGAGUUCCCCUAAGGCAUUCUCUAUAUUCAAUAUAAUAUGGGAAGCCCUGGGUUUGUCUUUGUAUGUUUCAUCUGCAGUGACCUGAAAUCUUCAUAACCCUCUUCCUUUCUCCACUUAUCAACUAAGGGGUGGUUGGCAAUAAGGAUGGGUGGGAGAGAAAAAAAAACAGAAUUUGAGGAGGAGAGCAUUUAAACCAUCAGACUGUGUGUUCUGUGACAUCAAAGACUGGCAACAUUCUAAAGGAAAAGCAGCUGUGAAGUCAUAAUUAUGUUCACUUCCCACUGGCAACUGGCAAGCCCUUUAUUUUUGUGCAUUCGGAACUCACCAAGAAUAAAUAAAGUCCAUUCCCUCCUUGAGGGGCUAUUCUGCCAUUCCAUCUAGGAUUUAAAAGUUUGCCAAUUCCUAAAACAUCUAUUGUUAUCAAUAGUCUUGUGUCUUUCACAAAGCGGACUUUACAAAAUAAGUUAACAGGCCAUGAGAGGAACAGUCACACAUACCAAGAAAGGUACAUACGGAGAUAAUUCCAAUCAAAGUGAGCACAGCCUACGCAUAAACAGGAUUUUCCAAGAAAAAAGCAUUAAAGUGCCAUAGAAUAUUAAAGAGCAAUUAAAAGAAUGAAGAUCUCUUCAUAUGCUGGAUAGGCGGAGUGACCCAGCAAUCAUAUGGACACCAUCCAUUCCAGUGACACUCAAACUUCAGCGUGCAUCAGAAUCCCUGCAAGGCUUGCUAAGACACAGACUGCUGCGCCUACCUCAGAGUUCCUGAUUCAUCAAGCUUGAAGUAAGGCCUGAGAUUUUUGCAUUACUAACAAGUCUUCAGGUGAUACCAAUGCUGCUGAUCUGGAGACUGCCUUUGAGAGCCACUAUUCUAUCUCUUUCCCAAUCAACUGUCCUUUCUCACCUCCCUUUUAAAUCUCCAGCACCUGCUCCCUCAUGUUUACUCUCAAUGCACAAUCUUUUUUUCUCCUUCACUGACAGAAGUGAAACAAUUAAAAGAGAAUUUCCCCAG
ensembl:lncRNA LINC01712 long intergenic non-protein coding RNA 1712